rnacentral:rRNA from 1 species
GAUGAACGCUAGCUACAGGCUUAACACAUGCAAGUCGAGGGGCAGCAGGGAUUUAGCUUGCUAAAUCCGCUGGCGACCGGCGCACGGGUGCGUAACGCGUAUCCAACUUUCCCGUUACUCAGGGAUAGCCUUCCGAAAGGGAGAUUAAUACCUAUGGUGUUUGAAGUUCGCAUGUUCUUCAAACUAAAGAUUUAUCGGUAACGGAUAGGGAUGCGUGACAUUAGAUAGUAGGCGGGGUAACGGCCCACCUAGUCUACGAUGUCUAGGGGUUCUGAGAGGAAGGUCCCCCACACCGGAACUGAGACACGGUCCAGACUCCUACGGGGGGCAGCAGUGAGGAAUAUUGGUCAAUGGUCGGAAGACUGAACCAGCCAAGUAGCGUGAAGGAUGAAGGUUCUAUGGAUUGUAAACUUCUUUUAUACGGGAAUAAAACAUCCUACGUGUGGGAUCUUGUAUGUACCGUAUGAAUAAGCAUCGGCUAACUCCGUGCCAGCAGCCGCCGUAAGAC